CGGAAUGUAGCUCAGUGGUAGAGCACACUGCAAAUGUGAGGUCGCAGGUUCGAUUCCUGCCUUUCCGA
rnacentral:tRNA from 1 species